rnacentral:rRNA from 1 species
ACGGUGGGUGAUCUGCCUGCACUCUGGGAUAAGCCUGGGAAACUGGGUCUAAUACCGGAUAGGACCAUGCUUUAGUGUGUGUGGUGGAAAGUUUUUUCGGUGUAGGAUGAGCCCGCGGCCUAUCAGCUUGUUGGUGGGGUAAUGGCCUACCAAGGCGGCGACGGGUAGCCGGACUGAGAGGUUGGUCGGCCACAUUGGGACUGAGAUACGGCCCAG